GUGGGGAAUAUUGCACAAUGGGGGGAACCCUGAUGCAGCGACGCCGCGUGAGUGAAGAAGUAUUUCGGUAUGUAAAGCUCUAUCAGCAGGGAAGAAAAUGACGGUACCUGACUAAGAAGCCCCGGCUAACUACGUGCCAGCAGCCGCGGUAAUACGUAGGGGGCAAGCGUUAUCCGGAAUUACUGGGUGUAAAGGGUGCGUAGGUGGUAUGGCAAGUCAGAAGUGAAAACCCAGGGCUUAACUCUGGGACUGCUUUUGAAACUGUCAGACUGGAGUGCAGGAGAGGUAAGCGGAAUUUCUAGUGUAGCGGUGAAAUGCGUAGAUAUUAGGAGGAACAUCAGUGGCGAAGGCGGCUUACUGGACUGAAACUGACACUGAGGCACGAAAGCGUGGGGAGCAAACAGGAUUAGAUACCCUUGUAGUCC
rnacentral:rRNA from 1 species